CAUUCAGCAGAGAUUGAUGCAUCAAGCUUUGACCAGUGCCUGGCAGCUGCUGUUGAACCAGUCAGUGACCAGAAUGUCCAGGCCAGCAAGCAGCCUCUGUACUCGGAAAUAGUCCGUUUGCCAGCAGCUGAAGUUCCAGAUGUUACCUCAGUGCAGCAUAAUGUGAAGUUACCAAGGCGCA